AAUAUUGCACAAUGGGGGAAACCCUGAUGCAGCAACGCCGCGUGAGCGAUGAAGGCCUUCGGGUCGGAAAGCUCUGUCCUAAGGGCAGAACAAAUGACGGUACCUUAGGAGGAAGCCACGGCUCACUACGUGCCAGCCGCCGCGGUAAUACGUAGGGGGCAAUAGUGAUCCGGAAUCACUGGGCGUAAAGGGUGCGUAGGCGGUCGACAAAGUCUGGGGUGAAAGGCUACGGCUCAAACGUAGUAAGCCUUGGAAACUUGUGGACUUGAGUGCAGGAGAGGUAAGUGGAAUUCCUAGUGUAGCGGUGAAAUGCGUAGAUAUUAGGAGGAACACCAGUGGCGAAGGCGACUUACUGGACUGUAACUGACGCUGAGGCACGAAAGCGUGGGGAGCAAACAGG
rnacentral:rRNA from 1 species